rnacentral:misc_RNA from 1 species
CCUAAACACUCGAUGGUUUAUUCAUGAGAGCUCUCUCACCACGAUAACACUGAUUCGUUUAAUAAACGGCCGCUGCCGGGCGCGGAGUGUGCCCCAAGAGCACCUACAACGUUAUUCAAACGGACGAUAUAUCUCGGAGGCUUACGCUGCCAAGACUCUUGCCUCUUCUCGCUUUUCAUCCGUCGUCGACCAAAAGGCGGAUCGCUCUUUUUCUCUUACACCAACUCCGUAUCACCUCUAGUUACAGCUUCUUGCUCGCGCGCGCAAAACGCUUUAACGCGAAUAACUUUUGCACGCUUCGAGCAAAGUCAGAGAGAUUGUAUCAUCACGUUCCAGACGAACACACUGUCCGUGAAUGGAGCUGGUGCUGAAGGUCCGAUUGGCGGAGUACGGAUUCCCGGAACCAAGAAGGAGACCGGUCGGUUUCGGGGCGUACAUCGCCAACCGCUGAAUCACGUUCAAUCGGCCAUCUUUACCUAUUUUUUCUUCUCUUUUUUCUUCUUGUUUUAAGCGAUCAGACGAGUCAGCCUAACCGUUCGCGAUGUAACCUUUCGAACGGGUUGCCUAACGUAUUUUUUUGCCCAUUAUGAUGGAGUUCCGUUUGCGGUUUUGCGAUUCUAUUGGCCCCAAAAUGGAAUGGACGCGGUGCAUUUCUCGUGAUUCGCAAAGCUUUUAGUGGCAACGAGCAAACCGCCUUCGAAAGAACAUCUGCUCGUUAAAAAAAGAAUCGAAAUUCCUUCGGUGUAUCAUUUAUCUCUUUCAUUUUCAAGGAUGUUGUAGAGUAAAGAUGUUUAGAUAGUCAUUAGUACGAGUAGAAAUUGUUGGAAUUGCGUACAAGGAACUUUUAAUUUAUAAAUUUGUUAGAGCACAGCAACGUUAUGUUAUAUUACUAAAAAAGCUGAGAAAAUUAAUUUAUAUCAAUAUAUUUAUAUAUCAUAUUCUGAUAGUUCC